UAAAUUCUUAUUGCCAGCCUCAUGUUGCAACUGGUCCAUUCUCUAAAAAUGGUGUUCCUGAAGAACCUAUCACCGGUGAAGCAAGAGGUCUACAAAUGCCAUCUGUAGACUUGGCUUCCAAUGCCACUCAACAGGUGGAGACUGAAAACCUAAUUAGAGAUGCAGCCUCUUCUUCCAAUGCCAAUCCACAUUGUGAAGCAAGAGGUGUACAGAUGCCAUCUGUAGACUUGGCUUCCAAUGCCACUCAACAGGUGGAGGCUGAAAACCUAAUUAGAGAUGUAGCCUCUGCUUCCAGUGCCAGUCAACAUUUGGAAGCUGGGAAUGUAAUCAGUGCAACAACAGCUGCAGAAUUUCCCACUGUUGAUCUCAAUGUCCCUCCUUGUGAUCCCUAUUCAUCUCAGUCCACAAAUGUGAAU
rnacentral:lncRNA from 1 species